rnacentral:lncRNA from 1 species
UCUUCUACUGCCUCAUAUUUUGGAAAUCAAUACAAAAGUCAUGCUGUUUCCUCUACAGAGUGAUCCAACUCACAGCAGUGUGGGAAGAAGGUAGUAGGGAGAGAAACCUGAGGCAGACAUUCCUGUGGUCAAGCUGUUCUGGAGGUCUCACGUGAAGAGACAGAGGAGAGGAGAACACUGUCAAUGCUGUACUUCAUUGAUUAGGAUUCUUGACAAACAAGUUCAAGAGGGAGUGAAAAAAAAGCAAGAAAGAAGAGGAAACUGAGCACUAAACAACUUUACUUUGGUUUUCCUGCAAAGAAAAUGAAUGUAAUUUUUCCUCACUGCUUAGAAAAAUACAAACAUUAAGGAUCAUCUUCUUAAACUAUCAGAAAAAUUCCAUUAUUCUGUGAUUGUCUGGCAGCUGAAGCACUACCCAUUUGCACUGCACGUGCCCAGGAUGAGCAGGACUCCGACCUUCACUCACAGAGGAGUUUUUCAGUGUCUGGUGAAGGUUUGGCAGUGGCAUGAACACACAAUUCAAAGAAGUGAAGGAACAACAUUG